rnacentral:rRNA from 1 species
AUUGAACGCUGGCGGCAGGCCUAACACAUGCGAGUCGAGCGGAUGAAGGGAGCUUGCUCCUGGAUUCAGCGGCGGACGGGUGAGUAAUGCCUAGGAAUCUGCCUGGUAGUGGGGGAUAACGUCCGGAAACGGGCGCUAAUACCGCAUACGUCCUGAGGGAGAAAGUGGGGGAUCUUCGGACCUCACGCUAUCAGAUGAGCCUAGGUCGGAUUAGCUAGUUGGUGGGGUAAAGGCCUACCAAGGCGACGAUCCGUAACUGGUCUGAGAGGAUGAUCAGUCACACUGGAACUGAGACACGGUCCAGACUCCUACGGGAGGCAGCAGUGGGGAAUCUUGGACAAUGGGCGAAAGCCUGAUCCAGCCAUGCCGCGUGUGUGAAGAAGGUCUUCGGAUUGUAAAGCACUUUAAGUUGGGAGGAAGGGCAGUAAGUUAAUACCUUGCUGUUUUGACGUUACCAACAGAAUAAGCACCGGCUAACUACGUG